rnacentral:rRNA from 1 species
AUUGAACGCUGGCGGCAUGCCUUACACAUGCAAGUCGAACGGUAACGCGGGGCAACCUGGCGACGAGUGGCGAACGGGUGAGUAAUAUAUCGGAACGUGCCCAAUAGUGGGGGAUAGCCCGGCGAAAGCCGGAUUAAUACCGCAUACGACCUGAGGGUGAAAGCGGGGGAUCGCAAGACCUCGCGCUAUUGGAGCGGCCGAUAUCAGAUUAGGUAGUUGGUGGGGUAAAAGCCUACCAAGCCUACGAUCUGUAGCUGGUCUGAGAGGACGACCAGCCACACUGGGACUGAGACACGGCCCCAGACUCCUACGGGAGGCAGCAGUGGGGAAUUUUUGGACAAUGGGGGAACCCUGAUCCAGCCAUUCCGCGUGAGUGAAGAAGGCCUUCGGGUUGUAAGACGUCUUUC